rnacentral:rRNA from 1 species
AACAAACGCUGGCGGCGUGCCUAAUACAUGCAAGUCGAACGGGGAAAGCUUUCGGGUGAGUACUAGUGGCGCACGGGUGAGGAACGCGUGGAUAAUCUGCCUUAGAGUGGGGGAUAACUAGUCGAAAGAUUAGCUAAUACCGCAUAAGACCACGAGAGCUGCGGCUUUUGAGGUCAAAGGUUUUUCGCUCUAAGAUGAGUCCGCGUAAGAUUAGCUAGUUGGUGAGGUAACGGCUCACCAAGGCGACGAUCUUUAACUGGUCUGAGAGGAUGAUCAGUCACACUGGAACUGAGACACGGUCCAGACUCCUACGGGAGGCAGCAGUAGGGAAUAUUGCACAAUGGAGGAAACUCUGAUGCAGCGACGCCGCGUGAGUGAUGAAGGCCUUCGGGUCGUAAAGCUCUGUCGCAGGGGAAUAACACAAUGAAGGUACCUUGUAAGAAAGGAUCGGCUAACUUCGUG